CUGGGAUAGAGCCACGUCUCCUAACUCCUGGUCCAGCGAUCUGUCGACUGGACCUCUGCUGCCUCUAGCUUUGGUGUAUUCAGAAUGACGUGAAUGAAUAUAAAGCUGGCUGGUGCUGAGAAGGUCCCCUUUUGUUGUGGUCCAGCAAGUGUCUGGAGUAUAUUAGAGGACUGGAACAAAAGUUUAAGAUUCCUUGCUGACACUGAAAAGUGAUUAUUUUGAAACUAUAUUGAAUAAUCGAGCAGGAGGUUCAGAAUACACUAGCGCCUGCAUCACUGUGACCCCUUUUCAUAGUGCCGAUGUGUCCAGUCACUAUUAGGAAACCUCAG